AAAGUUAGAGGUUCGAAGGCGAUCAGAUACCGCCCUAGUUCUAACCAUAAACGAUGCCAGCCAGCGAUCCGGCUGUGUUCCUCAAAUGACACGCCGGGCAGCUUCCGGGAAACCAAAGCUUUUGGGUUCCGGGGGAAGUAUGGUUGCAAAGCUGAAACUUAAAGGAAUUGACGGAAGGGCACCACCAGGAUUGGAGCUUGCGGUUUAAUUUGACUCAACACGGGACAACCUACCCGGCCCGGACACAGGAAGGAUUGACAGAUUAAGAGCUCUUUCUUGAUUCUGUGGGUGGUGGUGCAUGGCCGUUCUUAGUUGGUGGACUGAUUUGUCUGGUUAAUUCCGUUAACGAACGAGACUCUAGCCUACUAAAUAGGCGUUCCGAUUAUUUAUUUUUCGGACGAUCUUCUUAGAGGGACAAUCGGCGCUUAGCCCGAUGAGACAGAGCAAUAACAGGUCUGUGAUGCCCUUUGAUGUCCGGGGCCACACGCGUGCUACAUUGAAGGAAACAGCGUGUGCUUUCCCUGUCCGACAGGACUGGGUAACCCGGUGAACCUCCUUCGUGCUGGGGAUAGGGGCUUGUAAUUGUUCCCCUUGAACGAGGAAUUCCUAGUAAGCACGAAUCAUCAGUUCGUGUGACUUAAGUCCCUGCCCUUUGUCCACACCGCCCGUCGCUUCUACCGAUUGAAUGAUUUAGUGAGGUCUUCGGACUGGCGCUCGGAGCGGCCUUGGGUCGCGCCGGCGUGCCGGAAAGAUGACCAAACUUGUCAUU
rnacentral:rRNA from 1 species